UAGUCCGUACGAGCGCACCCUUGUCCCUAGUUGCCAGCACUUCGGGUGGGAACUCUAGGGAGACUGCCGGUGAUAAACCGGAGGAAGGUGGGGAUGACGUCAAGUCAUCAUGGCCCUUAUGGGGAGGGCUACACACGUGCUACAAUGGCCGGUACAGAGGGCAGCGAAGCCGCGAGGUGGAGCGAAUCUCAGAAAACCGAUCGUAGUCCGGAUUGCAGUCUGCAACUCGACUGCAUGAAGCCGGAAUCGCUAGUAAUCGCGGAUCAGAACGCCGCGGUGAAUACGUUCCCGGGCCUUGUACACACCGCCCGUCACACCAUGGGAGUGGGCUGUACCAGAAGUAGGUAGUCUAACCUUCGGGAGGGCGCCUACCACGGUGUGGUUCAUGACUGGGGUGAAGUCGUAACAAGGUAGCCCUAGGGGAACCUGGGGCUGGAUCACCUCCUUU
rnacentral:rRNA from 1 species